UACGUAGGGUGCGAGCGUUAAUCGGAAUUACUGGGCGUAAAGCGUGCGCAGGCGGUUCGUUAAGUUUGUUGUGAAAGCCCCGGGCUCAACCUGGGAAUGGCAAUGGAAACUGGCGAGCUUGAGUGUGGCAGAGGGGGGUGGAAUUCCGCGUGUAGCAGUGAAAUGCGUAGAGAUGCGGAGGAACACCGAUGGCGAAGGCAGCCCCCUGGGCCAACACUGACGCUCAGGCACGAAAGCGUGGGGAGCAAACAGG
rnacentral:rRNA from 1 species